GAAAUGCGAUAAGUAGUGUGAAUUGCAGAUGUAACGUGAAUCAUCGAAUCUUUGAACGCACAUUGCGCCCCCUGGUAUUCCGGGGGGCAUGCCUGUCCGAGCGUCAUUGCUGCCCUCAAGCACGGCUUGUGUGUUGGGCUUCCGUCCCUGGCAACGGGGACGGGCCCAAAAGGCAGUGGCGGCACCAUGUCUGGUCCUCGAGCGUAUGGGGCUUUGUCACCCGCUCCCGUAGGUCCAGCUGGCAGCUAGCCUCGCAACCAAUCUUUUUAACCAGGUUGACCUCGGAUCAGGUAGGGAUACCCGCUGAACUUAAGC
rnacentral:misc_RNA from 1 species